rnacentral:lncRNA from 1 species
UGGAGAUAGAAGCACCCAUAAGCCGAAGAAACCAAAAGUACUGCCAUAUUUGUCCCAAUAGUGACCGCAACACUGAGGAGCACUGCAAGCUGAGCGGGAUCAGAGACUCUGUCCAAUGAGGGCCCUCAUCAAAGGAGGAGCUUUAUAAAGAAAUCACAUUGAAUGACUGUUGAUGUGGAGGACAACCUCGAUGACAAUCUGAUGGCUGGCAUCAUAGAUAUAACCCCAAUACCUACUAGUGGUAGGGGGACAGGAAGCA